rnacentral:rRNA from 1 species
AAUAGAUACCCGGUAGUCCACGCCGUAAACGAUGAAUGCUAGGUGUUAGGGGUUUCGAUACCCUUGGUGCCGAAGUCAACACAUUAAGCAUUCCGCCUGGGGAGUACGGUCGCAAGACUGAAACUCAAAGGAAUUGACGGGGACCCGCACAAGCAGUGGAGUAUGUGGUUUAAUUCGAAGCAACGCGAAGAACCUUACCAGGUCUUGACAUCCCUCUGAAUAUCCUAGAGAUAGGGUAGGCCUUCGGGACAGAGGAGACAGGUGGUGCAUGGUUGUCGUCAGCUCGUGUCGUGAGAUGUUGGGUUAAGUCCCGCAACGAGCGCAACCCUUGAUCUUAGUUACCAGCAGGUAAGGCUGGGCACUCUAAGAUGACUGCCGGUGACAAACCGGAGGAAGGUGGGGAUGACGUCAAAUCAUCAUGCCCCUUAUGACCUGGGCUACACACGUACUACAAUGGCCGGUACAACGGGAAGCGAAGCCGCGAGGUGGAGCAAAUCCAAUAAAAGCCGGUCUCAGUUCGGAUUGCAGG